rnacentral:tRNA from 1 species
GCCCGCGUGGUGAAAUGGUAGACACAGGGGACUUAAAAUCCCUCGGCUGCAAGGCCUUGCCGGUUCAAGUCCGGCCGCGGGCACCA